rnacentral:rRNA from 1 species
CCUACGGGAGGCAGCAGUAAGGAAUAUUGGUCAAUGGACGAAAGUCUGAACCAGCCAUGCCGCGUGAAGGAUGAAGGCCCUCUGGGUUGUAAACUUCUUUUAUCUGGGACGAAAAAAGCUCAUUCUUGAGCACUUGACGGUACCAGAGGAAUAAGCACCGGCUAACUCCGUGCCAGCAGCCGCGGUAAUACGGAGGGUGCAAGCGCUAUCCGGAUUCACUGGGUUUAAAGGGUGCGUAGGUGGGUCUGUAAGUCAGUGGUGAAAUCUCCGAGCUUAACUCGGAAACUGCCAUUGAUACUAUAGGUCUUGAAUCAUCUGGAGGUAAGCGGAAUAUGUCAUGUAGCGGUGAAAUGCUUAGAUAUGACAUAGAACACCAAUUGCGAAGGCAGCUUACUACGGGUGUAUUGACACUGAGGCACGAAAGCGUGGGGAUCAAACAGGAUUAGAUACCCUGGUAGUCCACGCCCUAAACGAUGGAUACUCGACAUCAGCGAUACACUGUUGGUGUCUGAGCGAAAGCAUUAAGUAUCCCACCUGGGAAGUACGACCGCAAGGUUGAAACUUAAAGAUAGUAGACGNGAGAGAGCGACGACGACGACGAGGAGGAGGAG